UACGGAGGGUGCAAGCGUUAUCCGGAUUCACUGGGUUUAAAGGGUGCGUAGGCGGGUAGGUAAGUCAGUGGUGAAAUCCUGGAGCUCAACUCCAGAACUGCCAUUGAUACUAUCUAUCUUGAAUAUUGUGGAGGUAAGCGGAAUAUGUCAUGUAGCGGUGAAAUGCUUAGAUAUGACAUAGAACACCCAUUGCGAAGGCAGCUUACUACGCAUAUAUUGACGCUGAGGCACGAAAGCGUGGGGAUCAAACAGGAUUAGAUACCCUGGUAGUCCACGCCCUAAACGAUGGAUACUCGACAUACGCGAUACACUGUGUGUGUCUGAGCGAAAGCAUUAAGUAUCCCACCUGGGAAGUACGUUCGCAAGAAUGAAACUCAAAGGAAUUGGCGGGGGUCCGCACAAGCGGUGGAGUAUGUGGUUUAAUUCGAUGAUACGCGAGGAACCUUACCUGGGCUAGAAUGCUGGGAGACCGCUAGUGAAAGCUAGUUUUGUAGCAAUACACUGCCAGUAAGGUGCUGCAUGGCCGUCGUCAGCUCGUGCCGUGAGGUGUUGGGUUAAGUCCCGCAACGAGCGCAACCCCUAUCUUUAGUUGCCAACAGGUAAUGCUGGGAACUCUAAAGAAACUGCCGCCGUAAGGUGUGAGGAAGGAGGGGAUGAUGUCAGGUCAUCAUGGCCUUUAUGCCCAGGGCUACACACGUACUACAAUGGGGGAGACAAAGGGCUGCAACAUAGCGAUAUGAAGCCAAUCCCAAAAACUCCCUCUCAGUUCAGAUUGCAGGCUGCAACUCGCCUGCAUGAAGCUGGAAUCGCUAGUAAUCGUAUAUCAGCAAUGAUACGGUGAAUACGUUCCCGGACCU
rnacentral:rRNA from 1 species